AGUGAACGCUGGCGGCAGGCCUAACACAUGCAAGUCGAACGGCAGCACAGUAAGAGCUUGCUCUUACGGGUGGCGAGUGGCGGACGGGUGAGGAAUACAUCGGAAUCUACUUUUUCGUGGGGGAUAACGUAGGGAAACUUACGCUAAUACCGCAUACGACCUACGGGUGAAAGUAGUGGAUCUUCGGACCUUGCGUGAUUGAAUGAGCCGAUGUCGGAUUAGCUAGUUGGCGGGGUAAAGGCCACCAAGGCGACGAUCCGUAGCUGGUCUGAGAGGAUGAUCAGCCACACUGGAACUGAGACACGGUCCAGACUCCUACGGGAGGCAGCAGUGGGGAAUAUUGGACAAUGGGCGCAAGCCUGAUCCAGCCAUACCGCGUGGGUGAAGAAGGCCUUCGGGUUGUAAAGCCCUUUUGUUGGGGAAGAAAAGCAGCAGGUUAAUACCCCGCUGUUCUGACGGUACCCAAAGAAUAAGCACCGGCUAACUUCGUG
rnacentral:rRNA from 1 species